rnacentral:tRNA from 1 species
GGCUCCAUAGUGUAGUGGUUAGCACGUCUGCUUUACACGCAGAAGAUCCUGGGUUCCCACCUCAGAUGAAGUCA